rnacentral:rRNA from 1 species
AAGUCUGGUGCCAGCAGCCGCGGUAAUUCCAGCUCCAAUAGCGUAUAUUAAAGUUGUUGCAGUUAAAAAGCUCGUAGUUGAAUUUCGGGGUCAGUAGGUUGGUCAUGCCACUGGUAUGUACUGGUCUCACUGAUUCCUCCUUCCUGAUGAGCCGUAAUGCCAUUAAUUUGGUGUUGCGAGGAAUCUGGACUGUUACUUUGAAAAAAUUAGAGUGUUUAAAGCAGGCUAACGCUUGAAUACAUUAGCAUGGAAUAAUGAAAUAGGACGUUCGAUCUUAUUUUGUUGGUUUCUAAGAUUGACGUAAUGAUUAAUAGGGAUAGUUGGGGGCAUUAGUAUUCAAUUGUCAGAGGUGAAAUUCUUGGAUUUAUUGAAGACUAACUACUGCGAAAGCAUUUGCCAAGGAUGUUUUCAUUAAUCAAGAACGAAAGUUAGGGGAUCGAAGACGAUCAGAUACCGUCGUAGUCUUAACCAUAAACUAUGCCGACUAGGGAUCGGAUGAUGUUAAUUUUUUAAUGACUCAUUCGGCGCCUUACGGGAAACCAAAGUGUUUGGGU